UUCCUUCUUCUUUCUCUUUUUUGCUACUGGGUGCUGCUGCUCGUCGGCCGUUUUUUUUUCGUGCUCUUGAUGCGAAACGACGUGGUCACAAGAGAUAGGAGAAGCAAAAAAAGAAGAGCUGGCAAUCGGUAGUACAACGAGCAGUGUACUCAUCAUUGGAACGCGAUUAUCCAUACUCUCUCUCACCCCACACC
ensembl:ncRNA F13D11.20 ncRNA